rnacentral:rRNA from 1 species
AAUAUCAAAUCUUCGGAGCCUUGGGAUGAGCCUGCGUCUGAUUAGGUAGUUGGCGGAGUAAUAGCCCACCAAGCCUACGAUCAGUAGCUGGUCUGAGAGGAUGAUCAGCCACACUGGAACUGAGACACGGUCCAGACUCCUGCGGGAGGCAGCAGUAAGGAAUAUUGCUCAAUGGGGGGAAACCCUGAAGCAGCAACGCCGCGUGAAGGAUGAAAUACUUUUGUAUGUAAACUUCUGUAAGAUGGGAAAAAUAUUCUCCUCGGGAGAAUUGAUUGUACCAUCAGAGUAAGCCCCGGCUAACUACGUG